rnacentral:sRNA from 1 species
CAACUCCAAACAAAACACGACAGUUUUGCACACUUAGCUCACUUCCCUGCCACUUUGCUGUCCUCUCCCCACUUCCAAAUAAUCAGAGGAAAGAAAAGGGGGUUUAAAUCGCCAUGCGAUGGCUGUUCUGGUCAUCCAGCCCGCAACAGCAGAUGCCCAAUAACGAGAACAACAAUACGAAACACACCCCAGCACAAGCAGAAACAUCCUCCUCCUCCUCCUCGCCUUUUCAUGCCCAGUGCGCCAACUGCUCUUCCCUCACCGCGACCCUCCAUACAAAUACCUCCAACCCACCGACACCCUCGCGCCAAACUCCCCACCCGCCAACGCGAGACUGGAACGCUUCCCUCAGCGCCCGCGACUGGGCCGGCGAGUUCAAAGAUCCACGAAACCUAGUCCCCACCCUCCUGCUCUCUGGGGCAAUCUUACUCUGUCUGCGGAUCCACCGCAAGUACUUGCGCCGUAUCCCCCUCGCAACCAGUAUCUCCCCGACCUAUUUCCAUAAACGAAGCAUAUUCGGACAAGUGACGAGUGUGGGCGAUGGGGAUAACUUCCGCAUGUUCCAUACCCCUGGCGGCCGACUAGCCGGCUGGGGAUGGUUGCCGUUUCGCAAAGUUCCGACGUCGAAGAAGGAGUUGAAAGAUCGGACUAUCCACAUCCGCCUUGCAGGCGUCGACGCCCCUGAACUCCCCCAUUUCGGCCGCCCCGCCCAACCCUUCUCCCACGCCGCCCACACCUGGCUAACAAACUACCUGCUCAGCAGGCGCGUGCGUGCCUACGUCUACCGGCAGGACCAGUACGGCCGCGUUGUGGCCACCGUGUACGUGCGCCGUUGGCCGUUCCCCUUCAUCCGGCGCGAUGUGGGUUUGCAAAUGUUGCGGGCUGGGCUGGCAACGGUGUAUGAGGCGAAGAGUGGGGUGGAGUUCGGUGGGGAGGUGAUGGAAGGGAGGUAUAGGCGUGCGGAGCAGAGGGC